ACCAACUCAGAGUUGGCUGACUCUGCCUGCUCCAAGCAAUAUUUCAGUGAGUCUAUUUCCUCUUUCGCUGCAGCAAACUCCAAUAUUGAGGCUUCAGGGGUAGAGCCAACAAAACUGGCUAAGUAAUGUCCAACAUAUACAAAUGGGUAUACAAUCGUUAGGUGUUGCGAGUCAUGGAAGAUUGAAAGAAGAGAUCCAAAGACACUCUACCUGAGCAAGAGAUCUCAGAGCACCCAUUAUCCUUUGUUAAGCCUCUUGCUCAUCUAUGUACUGUUUCUUAAUAGGAG
rnacentral:lncRNA from 1 species